CCUACGGGAGGCUGCAGUGAGGAAUAUUGGUCAAUGGGCGCGAGCCUGAACCAGCCAAGUCGCGUGAAGGAUGACUGCCCUACGGGUUGUAAACUUCUUUUAUAAAGGAAUAAAGUGAGGCACGUGUGCCUUUUUGUAUGUACUUUAUGAAUAAGGAUCGGCUACUCCGUCCCAGCAGCCGCGGUAAUACGGAGGAUUCGGGCGUUAUCCGGAUUUAUUGGGUUUAAGGGGAGCGUAGAUGGGUUGUUAAGUUAGUUGUGAAAGUUUGCGGCUCAACCGUAAAAUUGCAAUUGAUACUGGCAGCCGUGAGUACAGAUGAGGUAGGCGGAAUUCGUGGUGUAGCGGUGAAAUGCUUAGAUAUCACGAAGAACUCCGAUUGCGAAGGCAGCCGACUAAACUGCCACUGACAUUGAUGCUCGAAAGUGUGGGUAUCAAACAGGAUUAGAUACCCCUGUAGUC
rnacentral:rRNA from 1 species